UUUUUUAUAUUGACAAGGAUAUUCAAACAAUGACACAAUUAUGAAUGGAUUUAAUGAGUGUGUAGAUGUGCUAGUUCCUGAUCUUGAUAUGCAAGAAAUUAUAUGUGCUAAUGAGCUGAUAAAUUACAAGUGCUCAUUAAAGUCUUUUGGGAGUCCAAUGGCGAUGAGGCAAACGACCAAAAUUAAUCCAGCCCAUGGGUGGAGCCAACAUGGGUGAAGUUCUCCAAAUUACAAAAGUUGGGCAUUCGGAUCUUAAACCUAACUACUUCUUCAUCCGGUUGUGAGCACAAUUGGAGUACUUUUGAAGGGAUUCAUACAAAGAAAAGGAACAUGCUUGAAUCAAAGAGGCUCAAUGACCUAGUCUAUGCAAGUACGAUCAAUUCUUGAAGGAUAGGUUUGCUAAGAGAGACUCCAUCAGAUAAAAAAUAUGAACCAUGCUAUGAAGUGGUUAGUUGAUGAUGAUGAGG